rnacentral:snRNA from 1 species
UUGCUUGCUUCAGCAGCACAUAUACUAAAACGGAAUGAUACAGAGAAGAUUCACAUGGCCCCUGCACAAGGAUGGCAUGUGAAUUAGUGAAAUGUUCCCUAUUUUU